GACGAACGCUGGCGGCGUGCCUAAUACAUGCAAGUAGAACGCAGUUGCGAACGGGUGAGUAACGCGUAGGUAACUGCCUCAUAGCGGGGGAUAACUAUUGGAAACGAUAGCUAAUACCGCAUCCUUUGAGCUGGACCUGCGUUGUAUUAGGUAGUUGGUGAGGUAAAGGGUCACCAAGGCGACGAUACAUAGCCGGACUGAGAGGGUGAACGGCCACAAUGGGACUGAGACACGGGCCAGACUCCUACGGGAGGCAGCAGUAGGGGAUCUUCGGAAAUGGACGGAAGUCUGACCGAGCAACGCCGCGGGAGUGAAGAAGGUUUUCGGAUCGUAAAGCUCUGUUGUUAGAGAAGCGGUAUCUAACCAGAAAGGGACGGCUAACUACGUGCCAGCCGCCGCGGUAAUUC
rnacentral:rRNA from 1 species